rnacentral:rRNA from 1 species
AUAUGGAGGGAGUAAGUGUUAUUCGGAAUCACUGGGCGUAAAGGACGUGUAGGCGGGUUUGUAAGUCAGGUGUGAAAUUCUACAGCUCAAUUGUAGAACUGUACUUGAAACUAUAGACCUAGAGUAUGGAAGGGGUAGAUGGGAUUAGUGGUGUAUGGGUAAAAUCCGUAGAUAUUACUAGGAAUAUUGAAAGUGAAGGUGAUUUGUUGGGACAUUAUUGAUGCUGAGGCGUGAAAGUGUGGGGAGCAAAUAGGAUUAGAAACCCUAGUAGUCC